AGUCGCACAACUUUCCAACUACACAUUUCACUAAUUUAUAUAAAAAUCUACUAAAAAACUGCCCUUAAUCCCCCAAACAAGGGCAUAAUUUAUAUCAAGUUCUAAACAAGAAAACUAACAUUUAUGAUUUAUGAGGUCUAAACACCAGACGGUCGGAAUUAUUUCAAAAUCCAUUUUUCUUUGAUCAUGUUCACAUCAUAAUUUACUAUCCGAAACAUGCUCGAUAAUUGAUAUAUCAUCUAAGACAAAUUUCUCAAAGUUCGAAAAAGGUCAUGUGAAAUAUUUGUUUGUUAUUAUGAAUAAUAGUCAAUAUUUUUCUAGAAGAGAAUCUGACCUGAUCACUAGCUGAUGAAUGAAAGUAUUGCUGAUUCGCUUCAUGAAAAAGCUAUAUGAACGUGGCAAAAUGCUAGAAAUUUCGGCCACUACUACUUUUAGAGUCGAAUGUUUGAUGAUUCAGUUAUGGUGUGUGUGUGUAUGUAUAUAUAGUGAAAAUAAGUUCAUGUAACUUAUGUUGAAAUUUUAUGAAACUUUAAAUCUUAAUGACAUGAAAAACCUAAUUACUUUAUUACCAAUAUCCUUCAUAUCAAAUCAUCUGGAAUAUUAGUAAUGCGAAACAUACCUUAAUUCUUUGAGAAUAGUUCUUUAUUAUUGAAUCUUGAAGAUCUACUGCAAUUUCUUCAUGUUUGGCUUAUUCACUUUUAAUCUUGAGUUUUGCCUCUUUUGAUUCUUUUCGCUUCUUGAUUCAUAAUCUCGAUUCUUGAAUUCCUUCAUCUUAAUUUUUUAUUGUAGAUAGCAUGUUCUUGAUUGUGGAUUUAGGAUUAUCCUCUUUGAUAUGCCUCCUCUCUAAAUUUUUG
rnacentral:lncRNA from 1 species